rnacentral:rRNA from 1 species
UCGGGAAUUUUGUGCAAUGGGCGAAAGCCUGACACAGCAACGCCGCGUGAAGGAUGAAGUCCCUCGGGAUGUAAACUUCGUAAGAAUAGGAAGAAUAAAUGACGGUACUAUUUGUAAGGUCCGGCUAACUACGUGCCAGCAGCCGCGGUAAUACGUAGGGACCAAGCGUUGUUCGGAUUUACUGGGCGUAAAGGGUGCGUAGGCGGCAUAUCAAGUCACUUGUGAAAUCUCCGGGCUUAACUCGGAACUGCCAAGUGAUACUGAUGUGCUAGAGUGCAGAAGGGGCAAUCGGAAUUCUUGGUGUAGCGGUGAAAUGCGUAGAUAUCAAGAGGAACACCUGAGGUGAAGACGGGUUGCUGGGCUGACACUGACGCUGAGGCGCGAAAGCCAGGGGAGCAAACGGGAUUAGAUACCCGAGUAGUCCCUGAGCGGGCUGGCAAGGCGCAU